ACGGAGGAUGCGAGCGUUAUCCGGAUUUAUUGGGUUUAAAGGGAGCGCAGACGGGAUGUUAAGUCAGCUGUGAAAGUUUGGGGCUCAACCUUAAAAUUGCAGUUGAUACUGGCUUUCUUGAGUGCGGUUGAGGUUAGCGGAAUUCGUGGUGUAGCGGUGAAAUGCUUAGAUAUCACGAAGAACUCCGAUUGCGAAGGCAGCUAACUAAGCCGUAACUGACGUUCAUGCUCGAAAGUGUGGGUAUCAAACAGG
rnacentral:rRNA from 1 species